rnacentral:sRNA from 2 species
GAUGCUGCGAGGAUGCCGCCUUGCUCUUCUGGGGUCCAGGAAUUCCAACCUCCAUUGGCUUGUUGCUCUAAUUGCUCUUUAACUGUUGUCUGAGAAGAGGUGGAUAUGGGAAUAAGCGUUGCCAUAGCUCCCGGGGGCCAGGUGAACUUGGUACGAACCUUUGGUUGCGUUCUGGCGGCUGGUUACCCCGAAAGGCUGACGCUUAUUGGUGAGGAUCUUGAGUCCACAUCGACAUUGGCAGCAUGUAUGAUUUCUGACUUGGAGCCAAUCGGGAAGUAAAACGGCCGUUUAAUAUGGAUGGGCGUUGAAAAGAGGGACUUUUAGUUGGCUUCAGGGAUUAAAGUAUUUGAUGUGUAGCUGUCACCGAUUCAAUAGUGCAAGUGGCGAAGAGAUAUCGAUGUGGAAAGGGCCAUGUCUCUACAUCUCCUAAAUAGAGAUUUGUAGUGCGCAGGGUGACGGCCGAAUAACACCAGCAGAGUUGACCACGAGAAAACAAAGAGGAACCUUGAUAUUCCUUAUAAAAAUAAGUGGAAUGUCAAAAAACGUGCACAAAGGAUUUGGAGUAAAAACUGUCAAUGGCCUCAAGGGAGAGGAAGUAAAUUUCGACCUAGGCAGCAAGGAUAUCCUCGAUGGAAAUAUUUAUUGCGGCUGGAUAUUCGGAUACAUUGUGUAAACAGCCACCACUACAGAUAUGAUGGUAGCUACUACCAAAAAGAAACAGGAA